GAUGAACGCUAGCGGGAGGCCUAACACAUGCAAGCCGAGCGGUAUUUGUCCUUCGGGACAGAGAGAGUGGCGUACGGGUGCGGAACACGUGUGCAACCUGCCUUUAUCUGGGGGAUAGCCUUUCGAAAGGAAGAUUAAUACCCCAUAAUAUAUCGAAUGGCAUCAUUCGAUAUUGAAAACUCCGGUGGAUAGAGAUGGGCACGCGCAAGAUUAGAUAGUUGGUGAGGUAACGGCUCACCAAGUCAGUGAUCUUUAGGGGGCCUGAGAGGGUGAUCCCCCACACUGGUACUGAGACACGGACCAGACUCCUACGGGAGGCAGCAGUGAGGAAUAUUGGACAAUGGGUGAGAGCCUGAUCCAGCCAUCCCGCGUGAAGGACUAAGGCCCUAUGGGUUGUAAACUUCUUUUAUACUGGGAUAAACCUACUUACGUGUAAGUAGCUGAAGGUACAGUAUGAAUAAGCACCGGCUAACUCCGUG
rnacentral:rRNA from 1 species